GUGGGGAAUAUUGCACAAUGGGCGAAAGCCUGAUGCAGCAACGCCGCGUGAGGGACGACGGCCUUCGGGUUGUAAACCUCUUUUAGUAGGGAAGAAGCGAAAGUGACGGUACCUGCAGAAAAAGCACCGGCUAACUACGUGCCAGCAGCCGCGGUAAUACGUAGGGUGCAAGCGUUAUCCGGAAUUAUUGGGCGUAAAGAGCUCGUAGGCGGUCUGUCGCGUCUGCUGUGAAAACUGGAGGCUCAACCUCCAGCCUGCAGUGGGUACGGGCAGACUAGAGUGCGGUAGGGGAGAGUGGAAUUCCUGGUGUAGCGGUGGAAUGCGCAGAUAUCAGGAGGAACACCGAUGGCGAAGGCAGAUCUCUGGGCCGUAACUGACGCUGAGGAGCGAAAGCGUGGGGAGCGAACAGGAUUAGAAACCCCUGUAGUCC
rnacentral:rRNA from 1 species